rnacentral:rRNA from 1 species
UACAGAGGGGGCAAGCGUUGUUCGGAAUUACUGGGCGUAAAGCGCACGUAGGCGGCUCUUUAAGUCGGGGGUGAAAUCCUGGAGCUCAACUCCAGAACUGCCUUCGAUACUGUAGAGCUUGAGUUCGGGAGAGGUGAGUGGAACUGCGAGUGCAGAGGUGAAAUUCGUAGAUAUUCGCAAGAACACCAGUGGCGAAGGCGGCUCACUGGCCCGAUACUGACGCUGAGGUGCGAAAGCGUGGGGAGCAAACAGG